rnacentral:rRNA from 1 species
UACGUAAGUGGCGAGCGUUAUCCGGAAUUACUGGGUGUAAAGGGUGUGUAGGCGGCCUUUUAAGUCUCGUGUUAAAUCCCACGGCUCAACUGUGGGCCAGCGCGGGAAACUGGAAGGCUUGAGUAGAGGAGAGGUAACUGGAAUUCCUAGUGUAGCGGUGAAAUGUGUAGAUAUUAGGAAGAACACCAGUGGCGAAGGCGGGUUACUGGCCUUUUACUGACGCUGAGACACGAAAGCCGGGGGAG